rnacentral:lncRNA from 1 species
GUCUCCUCCGUGGUGGUCACAUUCCAAGAUAUACUGAUAACCACGAUAUCCAGGAUACUGGUAGCAAACCCAGCUACAAAAUUCAAAAGUAUAUGGCAUUAAAACUAGUUAGGAACCUGACAAACACCCCCAAACCUCACAGACUUCUCAGCAGAAUGGUACAGAAUGCUUUUAGGCUUGGAGAAAACAGUAGUCAUAGAGGAAUUCCAUAGAGGAAUGCCCAGGGGAGAAAAAUCUAAAGGUGGUUGAUACAAAGAACUUGAGAUUCAAAUUAAUAACUAGAACAUGACCCCUGUGCCAAUAUUAUGCCAAUGCAUGAAACCUAAUAAAACAUUACCAUUGAUGUAUUAAUAUUUGCAAGGCUUUCACCUGCAGGAUUUACUUGGAACAUACUCCAACCCUGUUUUUGCACUUACGCCCCACUUUGUAUCUUCAUGGAACCAACUUCGUUGUUGAACCAACCCAUGGCUUGCAAGGAGGGGUAGUCAUCACAGAUUUCCCACUGUCGUCCAAUAAAGUUCUCUUUCUCAAAAAUGGUAAUCUUAGACUCCUUGUGAUUCUGUUGCCCAGAAAUUAAAAACUUUUAGUACCUAG